rnacentral:rRNA from 1 species
GAGGAAUAUUGGUCAAUGGACGCAAGUCUGAACCAGCCAUGCCGCGUGCAGGAUGACGGCUCUAUGAGUUGUAAACUGCUCUUGUACGAGGGUAAACGCAGAUACGUGUAUCUGUCUGAAAGUAUCGUACGAAUAAGGAUCGGCUAACUCCGUGCCAGCAGCCGCGGUAAUACGGAGGAUUCAAGCGUUAUCCGGAUUUAUUGGGUUUAAAGGGUGCGUAGGCGGUUUGAUAAGUUAGAGGUGAAAUUUCGGGGCUCAACCCUGAACGUGCCUCUAAUACUGUUGAGUUAGGGAGUAGUUGCGGUAGGCGGAAUGUAUGGUGUAGCGGUGAAAUGCUUAGAGAUCAUACAGAACACCGAUUGCGAAGGCAGCUUACCAAACUAUAUCUGACGUUGAGGCACGAAAGCGUGGGGAGCAAACAGGAUUAGAUACCCUGGUAGUCCACGCAGUAAACGAUGAUAACUCGUUGUCGGCGAUA